UAAACAUGCACAACAAAGUUGACAAAAAAAACAUGCACAACAAUAUCAUCAUUUUGACAUGUGGCUGCAGGCUUUAAUAAUAUACUUCUUUGGUCAAGAUCAUACCUAUCAAUCUAUCAUUAAGAAAGAGAAAGGAAAAUAUAUCGUAUAAGCAAUAAUUUUAUUUGAACGUGUAACAAAAUUUCACGUUAACAAGUUCACAUGUGUUUUUUCUUGUAGGAAUGCGUUCUCCGUUCACAUAAAUAAUUAUUUUGGAGUAAACUAUGGUUACUUUUGUGAUUGUAUGCAGUUAAGUUAUAAAUAAUUCUUCAAGUCUUCAGUUCAGACUCAUUACCAAAGCCAUAUCUUCAAACAUUAUAAUUCUUUCUCAAAUACUGAAUAUAAGCAUAUAUAUCGCAUUCACAUAGGGUAUACUAGUAUUAUAGUUUACACGUUUACUUUCACUAGACGGAAACAAAAGGAUAUCGCGAGAUAAAUGAUUUUAGGAUUCUUUACUUCCAUGCAAAUAUUUAACAAGCUAACUAUGAGUUUUAUUUACUUUUGUAACGAUGACAAGAUCAAAAUAAGUUCUAAAGAAAGAAUUAUAUCGGCAACACUUUUUUAAUGUUAGGAAGUUUUAGGCAAAUUCUUUCAAAAAUGAAAUUUUCGGCAAAUUCUUUUUUUUUAAUGAUUUUUUUUGGUACACAAUGUAAUAAAGUAGAUCUAUGAUUCAGACAAGUAGCAAUCAAAGUUGUCAAAAUCAAACCAUUGAAGGAGUGCCAUUUGGCACCAUUGAGAGAGCCAAGAUAACGUGGCAAUCAAAAUGUGGUUGUGACUGAAUAUUGCGUCCGACAGAUGAUAGCACGUGUCGAGGUUCCCAUAACGAUAGCCGUUGUCGAGGUUCCCAUAACGAUAUUUUUCUGUCUUUUUGUUAAAGUUAACAGAGAACAUUGCAGUACGUGCAAAAAACAAAGGGUGGAGAUCGCUUUCUCUCUCAUCUCUGUUCCUUCUCUUGCAUCUUUUACCGAGAAGAUGAGAAAGCGGUUGAGUAACUUGAGUUAUAGUCGACGCCGAUUCCUUUUUCCGGCUUCGAUUUGGUAUAUAGCUACCGGAUCUGGUCCGGUUUAUGCCUCUCGAUGUUUUGGGCUAUUGACUCUGGGGAGAGGUGGUUCACAUAACACCAUCUUUGCUGGCUUUCGUCUCUGGGAAGAGAUUGGAGUUUUGGUUUCAAUCGUAGGCAGUUGCAAUUCCCUCUUCAAAUCGUAGAUCUGUCAAGGUUGGUUUGUCGUCUUGAGAUUGAGGGCUGUUCUGGUUAAGCGGCUUCUUCUCCAGUUUGGUUUGCUGAUGGCGGAGCUCCGGCGUGCAUGCUCUCUGACUCCGGAGGAAGCUUGUGCUUUCCAUUCGCGACGCGUGUUCAUUGGGCGCCGGGCGUCCGGACACGUGGAAGUGGAGUUGGCGUCUUCCCCUACAGUUUCUCUUGGGCUUGGGGCCCAGUUGUUGUGAUGUUUUGCGGCCUGCUGUUUAGGCCUUUCUCGUUUUGUUGUUGUUGUUGGGCUUUAUGAGCCUAGUCUUUUAAUAAAAUUUCAAUUUGGGAAAAAAUAAAAAACUGAGAACAUUGUAUCGGUAAAAUUAAGGUUAUGGAUAGAGAACAUUUGUAAGUGCUUAAUUGAAAGGCGUUUUUCGAAAACCG